AGUGAACGCUGGCGGUAGGCCUAACACAUGCAAGUCGAACGGCAGCACAGUAAGAGCUUGCCCUUACGGGUGGCGAGUGGCGGACGGGUGAGGAAUACAUCGGAAUCUACUUUUUCGUGGGGGAUAACGUAGGGAAACUUACGCUAAUACCGCAUACGACCUACGGGUGAAAGCAGGGGAUCUUCGGACCUUGCGCGAUUGAAUGAGCCGAUGUCGGAUUAGCUAGUUGGCGGGGUAAAGGCCCACCAAGGCGACGAUCCGUAGCUGGUCUGAGAGGAUGAUCAGCCACACUGGAACUGAGACACGGUCCAGACUCCUACGGGAGGCAGCAGUGGGGAAUAUUGGACAAUGGGCGCAAGCCUGAUCCAGCCAUACCGCGUGGGUGAAGAAGGCCUUCGGGUUGUAAAGCCCUUUUGUUGGGAAAGAAGAGCAGCAGGUUAAUACCCCGCUGUUCUGACGGUACCCAAAGAAUAAGCACCGGCUAACUUCGUG
rnacentral:rRNA from 1 species